rnacentral:rRNA from 1 species
GAUGAACGCUGGCGGCGUGCCUAAUACAUGCCAGUCGAACUAAGCGGGGAGGGGUGAGUAACACGUGGAUAACCUCCUAUAAGACUGGGAUAACUUCGGGCAACCGUAACUAAAACUGAUACUUAUCUAUGGAUCCGCGAUGCAUUAGCUAGUUGGUAAGGUAACGGCUUACCAAGGCCACGAUGAAUAGCAGACCUGAGAGGGUGAUCGGCCACACUGGAACUGAGACACGGUCCAGACUCCUACGGGAGGCAGCAGUAGGGAAUCUUCCGCAAUGGGCGAAAGCCUGACGGAGCAACGCCGCGUGAGUGAUGAAGGUCUUCGGAUCGUAAAACUCUGUUAUUAGGGAAGCGGUACCUAAUCAGAAAGCCACGGCUAACUACGGGCCAGCAGCCGCGGUAAUAC